ACAUGCAAGUCGAGCGAAGCUUUCGGGCUUAGCGGCGGACGGGUGAGUAACGCGUGGGAACGUGCCCUUUGGUACGGAAUAGUCCUGGGAAACUGGGUUUAAUACCGUAUAUUCUCUACGGAGGAAAGAUUUAUCGCCAAAGGAUCGGCCCGCGUUGGAUUAGGUAGUUGGUGGGGUAAUGGCCUACCAAGCCGACGAUCCAUAGCUGGUUUGAGAGGAUGAUCAGCCACACUGGGACUGAGACACGGCCCAGACUCCUACGGGAGGCAGCAGUGGGGAAUCUUAGACAAUGGGGGCAACCCUGAUCUAGCCAUGCCGCGUGAUCGAUGAAGGCCUUAGGGUUGUAAAGAUCUUUCGCUGGGGAAGAUAAUGACGGUGCCCAGUAAAGAAGCCCCGGCUAACUCCGUGCCAGCAGCCGCGGUAAUACGGAGGGGGCUAGCGUUGUUCGGAAUUACUGGGCGUAAAGCGCGCGUAGGCGGAUUGGAAAGUUGGGGGUGAAAUCCCGGGGCUCAACCCCGGAACUGCCUCCAAAACUAUCAGUCUGGAGUUCGAGAGAGGUGAGUGGAAUUGCGAGUGUAGAGGUGAAAUUCGUAGAUAUUCGCAGGAACACCAGUGGCGAAGGCGGCUCACUGGCUCGAUACUGACGCUGAGGUGCGAAAGUGUGGGGAGCAAACAGGAUUAGAUACCCUGGUUAGUCCACACCGUAAACGAUGAAUGCCAGACGUCGGCAAGCAUGCUUUUCGGUGUACACCUAACGGAUUAAGCAUUCCGCCUGGGGAGUACGGUCGCAAGAUUAAACUCAAG
rnacentral:rRNA from 1 species